UACGUAGGUGGCAAGCGUUGUCCGGAUUCAUUGGGCGUAAAGCGCACGCAGGCGGUUCGUUAAGUCCAGGGUGAAAUCUCCCGGCUCAACUGGGAGGGGUCUUUGGAUACUGGCGGACUUGAGUGCAUCAGAGGAGAGCGGAAUUCCCGGUGUAGUGGUGAAAUGCGUAGAUAUCGGGAGGAACACCAGUGGCGAAGGCGGCUCUCUGGGGUGUGACUGACGCUGAGGUGCGAAAGCGUGGGGAGCGAACCGGAUUAGAUACCCGGGUAGUCCACGCUGUAAACGAUGGACACUAGGUGUGGGGGGUAUCGACCCCCUCCGUGCCGCAGCUAACGCAAUAAGUGUCCCGCCUGGGGACUACGGCCGCAAGGCUAAA
rnacentral:rRNA from 1 species